CUCAACCUGACCCAGCUGGUCUGCAUUGCACAGGAGCUGACUACAGGUUCCUGUAAACCAAGUGGACUGUAUGAAGCUGGGGAGGCCAGAGGGACUAUGGUAGAAAACAUUCUGUUUCAGUAUAACUGGAUAUGACUCAAGGUAUAUAAAAGUAUAUGACUCAAUGGAUAUGAUCUCAAGGGAGUUGUUACAGAGGCAGUGCACAC
rnacentral:lncRNA from 1 species